rnacentral:rRNA from 1 species
CAGCCUGCUAAAUAGUCGUGCGAACCUUCUGUAUGGGGGAAGCUGGCGGUCGACUCGUUGGGCUUCGCGCCCGGCGUGCGAUGCUGGUGGAUCCUGGAUGUGUUCGUCCAUUUUCGCGACUUCUUAGAGGGACUAUUCUGCGCUUAGCGAUUGGAAGUUUGAGGCAAUAACAGGUCUGUGAUGCCCUUAGAUGUCUCGGGCUGCACGCGCGCUACACUGAUCGACUCAACAAGUUCCACACCUUGGCCGAUAGGUCUGGGUAAUCUUUUGAAAAUCGAUCGUGCUGGGGAUAGACCAUUGCAAUUAUUGGUCUUCAACGAGGAAUUCCUAGUAAGCGCAAUUCAUCAGAUUGCGCUGAUUACGUCCCUGCCCUUCGCACACACCGCCCGUCGCUCC